rnacentral:tRNA from 1 species
GCGGGUGUGGUGGAAUUGGUAGACGCGCUGGACUCAAAAUCCUGUGCCGCAAGGCGUGUCGGUUCGAGUCCGACCACCCGCACCA